rnacentral:lncRNA from 1 species
UGUCGCUCCCCUUCCCUUCGCACGAGGAAUGCCGGCCGGGGCCGCGGCUGCUCCCGCUGUCCCGGUAACGCCGGCCCGUCCCCACGGCAACGCCGCCGGCCAUGGCGGGGCGCGGCGCAGCGGGGUGAGGGUCAGCUAAAGGGUAAAGAUAUUGACUAUGAAAGAAAAAGUGAUCUGUAUAAAGACAUAGUCACAUUUUUAAGGAGAGAUCACCUAGAUUUGUAGAAAAUAUGGCUAAACAGGAAUAUAGUAUGUCUAAAGAAACAGCACCCAAGAAGAAUUAUCAGCAUGCGGAAGGUGCUGCUAUUUCUGGCCAAUCACAGAGCCUUCAUAAUCUUACAGAAAAGACUGAAUGUGAGAAAGGGAAAGGUUCUUCAGCAGGACCCACUGACCAUAGGUUAAAACCACAUAUGAAGUGGAAAAGCAGUGGGCUUUCUGCUUCCCAAAGUAGUGACAAGGUUCCAAAAAAAUACUCUGAAGGAGAAGGGAAGAGUGGAACUGGAUCUCUGACUACAAAAAAGAAAGCCAGUGGCAAAUCUAAAUCGGUUAAAAUUCAAGAAACUUCAAAAUGUAAAGCAUCAAUCAGCCUUGAAGACAGUGAAAGUUCCUCAGAGACUGAUGAGGAUGAACAGCCUGUACGUCGUCAGGAAGGAAGCACCGAUUUGUCAGCAGAAUACUGGGGAAUUCAAAAACUUGCAAAAUAUGUAAAAGUAAGCAUUGAUAAAUUGUAUAAAAAGUAAAAAAAAGUUACAUUUGAGGAGACCCGACCAGUUCCUUAUCCUUUCCUUUUCAUUAUACUUUAGUAUAGCCCUGUGGUGUAGUAUUUUCAAAUCCUGCAACUGUGGACUUUCCUAUUACGCACUUUCUUUUUAAUCUGCUGG